AGAGUUUGAUCAUGGCUCAGAUUGAACGCUGGCGGCAGGCUUAACACAUGCAAGUCGAACGGUAACAGAACUAGCUUGCUAGUUGCUGACGAGUGGCGGACGGGUGAGUAACGCAUAGGAAUCUACCGAAUAGUGGGGGACAACAGUUGGAAACGGCUGCUAAUACCGCAUACGCCCUACGGGGGAAAGGAGGGGAUCUUCGGACCUUUCGCUAUUUGAUGAGCCUGCGUGAGAUUAGUUAGUUGGUGGGGUAAUGGCUCACCAAGGCGACGAUCUCUAGCUGGUCUGAGAGGAUGAUCAGCCACACUGGGACUGAGACACGGCCCAGACUCCUACGGGAGGCAGCAGUGGGGAAUAUUGCACAAUGGGGGAAACCCUGAUGCAGCCAUGCCGCGUGUGUGAAGAAGGCCUUCGGGUUGUAAAGCACUUUCAGUUGUGAGGAAAGGUUAAGGGUUAAUAACCCUUAG
rnacentral:rRNA from 1 species